rnacentral:rRNA from 1 species
UACGGAGAGUGCAAACGUUGUUCGGAAUCAUUGGGCGUAAAGGGCACGCAGGCGGUGCGUCAGGUCGGAUGUGAAAUCCCGGGGCUCAACCCCGGAAUUGCGUUCGAAACCGGCGCGCUGGAGUCUUGGAGAGGAGAGUAGAAUUUCUGGUGUAGGGGUGAAAUCCGUAGAUAUCAGAAGGAAUACCGGUGGCGAAGGCGACUCUCUGGCCAAAGACUGACGCUGAGGUGCGAAAGCGUGGGUAGCAAAC